rnacentral:rRNA from 1 species
CAGCAGCCGCGGUAAUACAGAGGGUGCAAGCGUUAAUCGGAUUUACUGGGCGUAAAGGGCGCGUAGGUGGUUAUUUAAGUGAGAUGUGAAAGCCCCGGGCUUAACCUGGGAACUGCAUCUUAUACUGGGUAACUGGAGUGCAGUAGAGGGUAGUGGAAUUUCCGGUGUAGCGGUGAAAUGCGUAGAUAUCGGAAGGAACACCAGUGGCGAAGGCGGCUACCUGGACUGAGACUGACACUGAGGCGCGAGAGCGUGGGGAGCAAACAGGAUUAGAUACCCGAGUAGUCCCUGUCUCUUAUAC